CCUCCUGCAAACAUCAAUGUAUAGGAGGUCUCACCUGCCCAGUGACAAGUUAAACGGCCGCGGUAUUUUGACCGUGCGAAGGUAGCGCAAUCACUUGUCUUUUAAAUGAAGACCUGUAUGAAUGGUAGAACGAGGGCUUAACUGUCUCCCUUUUUAAGUCAGUGAAAUUGAUCUGCCCGUGCAGAAGCGGGCAUAAUAAUACAAGACGAGAAGACCCUUUGGAGCUUAAGACUCCAGAUCAAUUAUGUCAAGAACCAGCCCAGGUUAAACCAAAUAACGCCUGAUCCUAGUCUUUUGUUGGGGCGACCACGGGAGAAAACAAAGCUCCCACGAGGACUGGACCCACCUCCAGAACCAAGAAAGACAUCUCUAAGUCACAGAACCUCUGACCAUAAAGAUCCGGCCACCCGCCGACCAACGGACCAAGUUACCCUAGGGAUAACAGCGCAAUCCCCUUUCAGAGUCCAUAUCGACAAGGGGGUUUACGACCUCGAUGUUGGAUCAGGACAUCCUAAUGGUGCAGCCGCUAUUAAGGGUUCGUUUGUUCAACGAUUAAAGUC
rnacentral:rRNA from 1 species